AUUAUUAUAAAUAUAUUUUAUACAGUCUAGUAUCUCGAAUAGAAGUUGCAAAUAAUUAAUAUUUAUUAAUUUUUGUCUUUAUUGUAUGACUAUUAUUUUUUAUAUUAAACUGCAAUUUUAAAAAAAGAGUUAUUAAUAUUAACAUAUGUGUACAUAAUCAUAUAUCUUUAUGUAAAAAAUUGUGAUAAUUUUCUGGGGACAAGGAGACAUAAUACGGUAGUUUAUAUUUUUAACGUGAAACUCAUUUUUUUCAAGGUAAAGAGUCAACGAUGGAUCAUAAGCUGAUGUAACCUUGUUACCGAUUUCCUAUCUAGAAAAAGGCAUGUAAAGUCGAUUGCUCGCAUUUCUCGAAGUUUAUUGUUGUCGCUUUCCCGCGAUGCCGAUUGGUUCUCUCGCUGUGCUUACUUUGCAAGAGUGUUGCAAGAGUAGCUGUCAUUGUGACUGAAUUUUGACAGUUAAAUUUGUAUAGAUAUUAUAUCUAUACAAAUAUCUGUGUGAUAUAAUGGAUCGUUAUUACAAAUAUUUAAUGGUACAAACUAAUUCCGGUUAUUGUGAUAUCUAAAAUAUAAGGUUGCAACGAAGCUCUGUGAAAUAAAGAAAACAAUAAAGUUCAUUUAUCAGACAAUAUAUAAAAUGGAAAAUGUAUUACUUGGCGUUUACUUAUUUCUACAUUAUCUAUGGCCAUGAUUAAAAUACCUAUGCAUAUUACGUCAAAUACUAUGGCAAAUCUUUUAUAUAAUAAAUCUUUUAUAAGCAAAUUAAAAUUUGCAUAGAUGUUCAGAAGAAAUCUUCCCUCUCGCGGGUACGACCUUGACGUGGUGAGAGGGCUCAGUGCCCCACAGGCAUUCAAGCCACAGGGCUUGAAUGCCUGUGGGGGAAGCUAACAGUACCCAUUGCACCUAUUACGUCGUCGAUCGUAAAAUUGUGGCUCGUCGCGCCGCGUUAAUGCGGUUCGGGAGUACCGUUAAUGCAAUUGAAUUGAAAACAAACCGUAGUCAAUUUGUCGUGUCGCGCGUUUGUUUCGGAAGUACCAUUUAAACAAUAGGACUAGAAAGACUUUUUGCAUUCGAAUGAGUUAUUAGUAUAGAGUUCGAGAAACCGCUCUCGUCCGGGUUAAUUAUCAUCGUGUGCAUUUUGUACAGAUUGGCUUAACGUUCGAUUCCACGGAGCAUUCUCCGAACUGAUAGGCAUCGUAGGGUUAAAACGUGGAGUGACGCAUUAGUAUGUCGCGCGAAAGCUUUUGACGGUUAAUUAGUUUUCGUGCGGUUUUAAUAUAUGUAAUCGCGAGUGUUUUUCGCGAGUGUCUCGUGACAACGAAAAAAAGGACAGCCUAUUCUGAGAAGAAGAGGAGGUCCAGGAAGGGCAUCGGGCAUCAGCGGAGCAACCUUGAGUAUCAUCGCAGCUUCGUGGCUGAAUAACUCCGCUUGUUGCGCAUCGGAUCGGUGAGUGAUGAUUUUUUUUAUGGAACAACGACUCUAAGAAAUUUAUAUUAAAUAUCUCUUUAUGUAGUAUGUAUUAUAAAUAGUACUCACUUUUCAUAGAGUCGUUGUUCUAAAUAUAUGGCUAUUGUAUGGCUAUUGUAUGGUAUACCAAUAAACUUGCAACUUUUCUGUUAGACCGGGUAUUUGCAUGCGUUUUUCUUGCAAAUAAAUUAAAAAAUUGAGCCCCUGGAGUUUAAAUGUGUGCGUAUAAUUUUAUAUGCCCAAAAUCAGCACAACACUCAAAUAAAGGGGUCGUGUUGAAUCGUUAUAAGAAUUUUAGCGACAAUUCUUGAUCGUUCUUGUAUAGUUUGAUAUUAUUUUUAAACAGAAUUCUGGCGAUUAAACGUUUGUAAAUAAUAUUUUAUACCCGAGAUUAGCACGACACUCAAAUAAAGGUGUCGUGCUGAAUAAAAUUUGAAAUUUUAAUUUUUUAAUUUAAAUUGUUUCCUUAACGUUAUUUUUCCAUUAAAUAAUCAUAAUAAUAGUGUAAGCAAGAAAUAUAUUCAUACGGAAAUAAUUGAAUUAUCUUAUUUUCUGGAAAAAUAAAAUAAAAAUAUUUAAACUAAUAAGUCUAAAGCAUUAAAAACAUCAAUUUUUAAGAAAUAUAAUGUAAAAAAA